rnacentral:rRNA from 1 species
GACGAACGCUGGCGGCGUGCUUAACACAUGCAAGUCGAACGGAAAGGCCCUGCUUUUGUGGGGUGCUCGAGUGGCGAACGGGUGAGUAACACGUGAGUAACCUGCCCUUGACUUUGGGAUAACUUCAGGAAACUGGGGCUAAUACCGGAUAGGAGCUCCUGCUGCAUGGUGGGGGUUGGAAAGUUUCGGCGGUUGGGGAUGGACUCGCGGCUUAUCAGCUUGUUGGUGGGGUAGUGGCUUACCAAGGCUUUGACGGGUAGCCGGCCUGAGAGGGUGACCGGCCACAUUGGUACUGAGAUACGGCGCAGACUCCUACGGGAGGCAGCAGUGGGGAAUAUUGCACAAUGGGCGGAAGCCUGAUGCAGCAACGCCGCGUGCGGGAUGACGGCCUUCGGGGUGUAAACCGCUUUCGCCUGUGACGAAGCGUGAGUGACGGUAAUGGGUAAAGAAGCACCGGCUAACUACGUG